rnacentral:tRNA from 1 species
GGUGCGGUGGCCGAGUGGUUAAGGCGUCGGACUUGAAAUCCAAUGGGGUGUCCCCGCGCGGGUUCAAAUCCUGCUCGCAGCG